UACGGAGGGUGCAAGCGUUAUUCGGAAUUAUUGGGCGUAAAGAGCGCGUAGGCGGUUUCUUAAGUCAGAUGUGAAAGCCCAGGGCUUAACCCUGGAAGUGCAUUUGAAACUAAGGGACUUGAGUAUGGGAGAGGGAAGUGGAAUUCCUGGUGUAGCGGUGAAAUGCGUAGAUAUCAGGAGGAACACCGGUGGCGAAGGCGACUUCCUGGGCCAAUACUGACGCUGAGGCGCGAAGGCGUGGGGAGCAAACAGG
rnacentral:rRNA from 1 species